rnacentral:tRNA from 1 species
GGGAAAUUAGGCCAAACAAGACACUUGAUUUCGGCUCAAGAAAUUGGGGUUCAAAUCGCCAAUUACCCU